AGUGAACGCUGGCGGUAGGCCUAACACAUGCAAGUCGAACGGCAGCACAGUAAGAGCUUGCUCUUACGGGUGGCGAGUGGCGGACGGGUGAGGAAUACAUCGGAAUCUACUUUUUCGUGGGGGAUAACGUAGGGAAACUUACGCUAAUACCGCAUACGACCUACGGGUGAAAGCAGGGGAUCUUCGGACCUUGCGCGAUUGAAUGAGCCGAUGUCCGAUUAGCUAGUUGGCGGGGUAAAGGCCCACCAAGGCGACGAUCCGUAGCUGGUCUGAGAGGAUGAUCAGCCGCACUGGAACUGAGACACGGUCCAGACUCCUACGGGAGGCAGCAGUGGGGAAUAUUGGACAAUGGGCGCAAGCCUGAUCCAGCCAUCCCGCGUGGGUGAAGAAGGCCUUCGGGUUGUAAAGCCCUUUUGUUGGGAAAGAAAAGCAGCAGGUUAAUACCCCGCUGUUCUGACGGUACCCAAAGAAUAAGCACCGGCUAACUUCGUG
rnacentral:rRNA from 1 species